AGUGUUAAAGUAGCAUAAAAAUCACAAAAGGCAAUGCCUUUAGGUAUUUUAAAUCCUGGAGAUGAGAGACAAGCUUUCCAGAAGACUAGUUUUUAACUGAUAAUGUUUGAAUGAUUAACUGUCCCAUACAGUUCAAGAGGGCAUGAAACCGUUAAGAGGUAAACGGGUGGGGUCCACGCAGACCUGUGGACGGUGUGAGGCCAGUAGUGGCCCCCGGCAUGCCAGGACCAAGUCUUCUUGGAGUCAGGUUGCUUGGGAAUGCAGCCCAAAGAUGGUGGUAAACUCCAUCUAAGGCUAAAUACUGGCACGAGACCAAUAGUCAACAAGUACCUUAAGGGAAAGUUGAAAAGAACUUUGAAGAGAGAGUUCAAGAGGGCGUGAAGCCGUUAAGAGGUAAGUGGGUGGGGUCCAUGCAGGCCCGUGGAUGGUGUGAGGCCGGUAGCGGCCCCUGGCAUGCAGAGACUGGGUCUCCUUGGAGUCAAGUUGCUUGGGAAUGCAGCUCAAAGCUGGUGGUAAUGUCCCAUACAGCUGACAUGGACCUAUAGCAAACUAUUAAAAGGUUUCAGAGUAACAGCCAUGUUAGUCUGUAUUCGCAAAAAGAAAAGGAGUACUUGUGGCACCUUAGAGACUAACCAAUUUAUUUGAGCAUAA
rnacentral:ncRNA from 1 species